AUCGCCCGAGGGGGAGCGACCGCCCUCGAGCUCGGAACUCAUAGCAAGUAUGAUCAUAUCCUUAACUCAAAGAAUUUAUAAAUUCAAUCUUGACUUUACACUAGCUCUAGUGUUCAUUACAUCACUUUAUGUUGCUACUCUAGCAAUCAUUGUUCUUUACCAUUCAUUACUCUUGCUAUCUCUACCAAUUAUAUUCUUUACAUUCUUUACUUUUGGUUACCUCUAGCACUUCUUGUUCUUUACUCCCCACAUUACUUUAACUUUAAACAUUGUCAUUUUUAUCAUUCUUUACAUUACAUUGGUUCUUUACCUCACACUAUCUCUAGUGUCAUUUCACUUUAACUUUAUCGAAUGCCACUCGAUCUAUGUCAUUGUGUCACUCUGUUCUUUUGCUCACGUUGGGUGCUCACUUUUCUCUCAUGCAUACACAUAGGGUUUUCGACAUUCACAUAGUUCUCAUUCGUCAUAUUUUGCAAGUUGCACUCACAAUCAUGCAUCAUCACAUUUCCAUCAUUACUUUACCCUAAAAUGCAUGCAACAAUAUAAGUACACAUGCUCAAAUGAAUGACACAUUAGGCAUAGAGAGAAGUUCAAUAAGUUUGAGAAGCACCACCCACCUCGUAGGCUUUUAAAGGUGCUCCGAUGAUUUUCUUGAGAUUUUUAGGCUUCUCGUUCUUUACCUGCGGCAAAACGAAGCCCUAUUAGGCCAUUUUGCUCAUAUCUUUACAUUGGCUUUUCGUAACAUUUUUCCGAGUGCACCAACGCGUCGGAAAUACCCCCAAUUAGGUUUCUAGAGGGUCAAUUUCACUUAGGAACCCCC
rnacentral:lncRNA from 1 species